rnacentral:rRNA from 1 species
CCCAGACUCCUACGGGAGGCAGCAGUGGGGGAUAUUGCACAAUGGGGGAAACCCUGAUGCAGCGACGCCGCGUGGGUGAAGAAGUAUUUCGGUAUGUAAAGCCCUAUCAGCAGGGAAGAAAGAAGACGGUACCUGACUAAGAAGCCCCGGCUAACUACGUGCCAGCAGCCGCGGUAAUACGUAGGGGGCGAGCGUUAUCCGGAUUCACUGGGUGUAAAGGGAGCGUAGACGGCCGUGCAAGCCAGGAGUGAAAGCCCGGGGCCCAACCCCGGGACUGCUCUUGGAACUGUGCGGCUGGAGUGCGGGAGGGGCAGGCGGAAUUCCUGGUGUAGCGGUGAAAUGCGUAGAUAUCAGGAGGAACACCGGCGGCGAAGGCGGCCUGCUGGACCGCGACUGACGUUGAGGCUCGAAAGCGUGGGGAGCGAACAGGAUUAGAUACCCUAGUA